AGUCCAACUGGACCAACUCUCUCUUCGUUUCUUUUUUUCCUCAAUUCCAAAAGAAAAAACCCUUGCCGCGAAUUCUCAAAUCCACAACGAGAAAGCUUCCAUCUUUGACGAGAAUUUGCUCACCAAUCCAAACCUCUGCGAUUUGGAGCUACCGCCGAUGAGAAGCUGCGAUUUUGCACUGUCGAUUUUCGCUUUAAAUGGUUUAUCUCCUUUGUGAAAGAUCUCCGAUCGCAAUGUCGACGAUUUUGACGUUCUGAGCAUGCUCCCGCGCUCACCUCGCCGCUUCCCCAAUCAUUGUAACUUCUCGUCUCUAAUUGUUUAUCGGUUACUCUGGUGUUAUCCUCUGUAUAUUUGACUAAACCUUUUCUUCUUAAAGUUUUUAUUUAUUUUUAUGUUGGUGGUUUAAUUUUCUCCAAUAUUGAUGUUUCUGCUCAAUUGUUGCAGAUAUUGGUGAAGAGCACUAAAGUUACAAAAUUUGUGUUGUAGUUCUCUACAUCUACAUUUAACUAAUACUACAGUGUUUGAGUCUGAUGCAGCUUUACAUCUACAACUACGUGCUCUACAUGAUAUAUCAUAUACAGGUUAAAUCUUGAAUGAUGGGAGAUUCAGUCUAUAAAGGCACAAUAGAUUGCUUCUUCAAAACAUUAAAAACUGAGGUAUGUAUUCUCUUUCAGUUCUGAUUCGUCGAAAUAGUGACUGACCAUAGUUUUAUCUGUAUUAUUCUUCUACUGCUCACAGUUCUACAUUUCUGA